CGAUUAUGCAUAAUUAUACGGUUUUUUGUUCAUUGAUACAGCUCCGCGGUACUUGGAAUGCCGGAACGCGAACCGCCGAUACGCCGAGUUUCCCGAUGAAGAGGAAUCGAUUCGUGUAACAAAACAUUACAUUUAGAGAGUUUUUUUAUGAUACUGUGGGAAAAUCAAAUUCCAGCGCCGCGCCUGAAUCGGCGAUUUUCUUUUUGCAAUAUCUCGAAAACGGAAAA